CCUACGGGAGGCAGCAGUGGGGAAUAUUGGGCAAUGGGCGCAAGCCUGACCCAGCAACGCCGCGUGAAGGAAGAAGGCUUUCGGGUUGUAAACUUCUUUUGUCAGGGACGAAGCAAGUGACGGUACCUGACGAAUAAGUCACGGCUAACUACGGUCCAGUAGCCGCGGGAAUCCGUAGGUGGCAAGCGUUAUCCGGAUUUACUGGGUGUAAAGGGCGUGUAGGCGGGGAGGCAAGUCGUAUGUGAAACCCACGGGCUCAACCUGUGGCCUGCAUUUGAAACUGUUUUUCUUGAGUGCUGGAGAGGCAAUCGGAAUUCGGGGUGUAGCGGUGAAAUGCGGAGAUAUACGGAGGAACACCAGUGGCGAAGGCGGAUUGCUGGACAGUAACUGACGCUGAGGCGCGAAAGCGUGGGGAGCAAACAGGAUUAGAUACCCCUGGAGUC
rnacentral:rRNA from 1 species